UAUUGCACAAUGGAGGAAACUCCGAUGCAGCGACGCCGCGUGAGUGAAGAAGUAUUUCGGUAUGUAAAGCUCUAUCAGCAGGGAAGAAAAUGACGGUACCUGACUAAGAAGCAUCGGCUAAAUACGUGCCAGCAGCCGCGGUAAUACGUAUGGUGCAGGAGUUAUCCGGAUUUACUGGGUGUAAAGGGAGCGUAGGUGGCAAGGCAAGCCAGAAGUGAAAACCCGGGGCUCAACCGCGGGAUUGCUUUUGGAACUGUCAUGCUAGAGUGCAGGAGGGGUGAGCGGAAUUCCUAGUGUAGCGGUGAAAUGCGUAGAUAUUAGGAGGAACACCGGAGGCGAAGGCGGCUCACUGGACUGUAACUGACACUGAGGCUCGAAAGCGUGGGGAGCAAACAGGA
rnacentral:rRNA from 1 species